rnacentral:tRNA from 1 species
GAGGGUAUAGCUCAAGUGGUAGAGUGCAUGCUUAGCAUACAUGAGUCCUUGGGUUCAAUCCCCAGUACCUCCU